rnacentral:tRNA from 1 species
AACUUUAUAGUCAAAUUAAUGAUAUUAGACUGCAAUUCUAAAGGAGUAUAAAAAAUACUAAAGUUU